CACUUUGAAACACUGGUUCCCGUACGAUUACAGUAGUUAAGCAACGUCGAGCUUGAUCAGUACCUAGAUGAGUGACCACUUGAGAAGACCAGGUACUGUAAG